AACGCACAUUGCGCCCCCUGGUAUUCCGGCGGGCAUGCCUGUUCGAGCGUCAUUUCAACCCUCAAGCUCUGCUUGGUAUUGGGAGCUGGCCCCCCGGGGCCUUCCCGAAAGUUAGCGGCGAUGCGGCCGGAUUCCCAGCGCAGUGACAUUUUAUUCUCGCUGAUUGGAUCCCCGGGCGACGUCUGCCGGGCAACCAACCCAAUUUUCUCAAGAUUGACCUCGGAUCAGGUAGGGAUACCCGCUGAACUUAA
rnacentral:misc_RNA from 1 species